GGGGCUACACACGUGCUACAAUGGCAUAUACAAAGAGAAGCGACCUCGCGAGAGCAAGCGGACCUCAUAAAGUAUGUCGUAGUCCGGAUUGGAGUCUGCAACUCGACUCCAUGAAGUCGGAAUCGCUAGUAAUCGUAGAUCAGAAUGCUACGGUGAAUACGUUCCCGGGCCUUGUACACACCGCCCGUCACACCAUGGGAGUGGGUUGCAAAAGAAGUAGGUAGCUUAACCUUCGGGAGGGCGCUUACCACUUUGUGAUUCAUGACUGGGGUGAAGUCGUAACAAGGUAACCGUAGGGGAACCUGCGGUUGGAUCACCUCCUUACCUUAAAGAA
rnacentral:rRNA from 1 species